CCUACGGGGGGCUGCAGUAGGGAAUAUUGGACAAUGGGCGCAAGCCUGAUCCAGCCAUCCCGCGUGAAGGAUGAAGGUCCUCUGGAUUGUAAACUUCUUUUCUUCGGGAAUAAAAACUGGGGUUCUCCUCAGCUUGAAGGUACCGAAGGAAUAAGCACCGGCUAACUCCGUGCCAGCAGCCGCGGUAAUACGGAGGGUGCAAGCGUUAUCCGGAUUCACUGGGUUUAAAGGGUGCGUAGGUGGCUUUGUAAGUCAGUGGUGAAAGCUCGGAGCUCAACUCCGAAACUGCCAUUGAUACUGCUUAGCUUGAAUCAGGUCGAGGUGGAUGGAAUGUGACAUGUAGCGGUGAAAUGCUUAGAUAUGUUACAGAACACCGAUUGCGAAGGCAGUUCACCAGCCCUGUAUUGACACUGAGGCACGAAAGCGUGGGGAUCAAACAGGAUUAGAUACCCCAGUAGUC
rnacentral:rRNA from 1 species